rnacentral:lncRNA from 1 species
CUCAACAUAAUUAAUGGCUCCCUCUGAGUAGUGAUUGUGCACUAGAUUUCUGCUUUCUUGAUUGCCCAAAGCUUGCGCAAGGUUGGAUUUUAGCGUACCAUAAGAAUGAGCAUCUGAUAUGGUCAUCACUGCUUCCUGCAGUCUGGUUUGUAAAGAAUGACCCAUUAUCAAUGCCUUUAUCUGUUCUACCACUAAUUUGCCCAUUUGGAUCUUUUGCCACUGCUAACUCUAGAACUCCUGUGUACCUUGGAAACCUCUGCCCUACUGAUAGCAGCUUGCCUGUACAUUUCUGUUUUAAAUUGCCUUCUCCUGAAGCCAACCAAAUGCCAGAGGACAAAAGGGUUUGACUGAAUUGGUCCACAGAGCUCAGCUUCCUGGGGAUUGGGGGAUGGAAAACGUUGAAAGUAAAUUAGCAAUAUGAUCUCUAUUAGCUAGA